ACAGCCUCCACCCCCUUCUCUCAUCUCUCCUCUUUCUCUCUCUAUCUCUCUCCUCUCUCAAAAACCCUACACAAAAUCAUUAACGCUGCCUUUCCCAUCGUCGGUCGUCCCUCUCCUCUGUUAGCGCCUCCUCCGCCGCCCUCUCCUUGCUAGCGCUGCCGCUGCACUAGCCAUAGCCGUCGACCUUACCUCCACUACCAGUCACUGGCAAAGCUACCCCUCCAGCCGCCGCAUUAUCAUCUCCACCAUCCAUCGCCAACAGCCAGCCCCACGCCGGCGAAAUAGAUCCAAGACCCCCGUCGGACCAGCCCCAUCGUCAACCCCUCUCCCUCUCCGUCAGGUUCUAUGAGUUCAACUUAAUCCAUUACUUUUUACUUAUACUACAUAUACAUAUGCAAAACAAAAUAUGUGAAAAAUAUUUGUACAUAUAGUAAGAUUUCAAGCAUUUUGAACCUACUGACUAGAUCCUGAGUUCGGAAGUAUAAAAGAUAAUCUGAAGGCUGACCUUUAAGUGCAAUGGUAAAAGAAUAAGUAGAUGGGUCAAUUUCAUCUGUAAAAAAAUAAAUAAAACUUUAUUAUAAAAUAGUAAUGAAACAAUGAUGAGGCGGGGCAAUGAGAGAAGUAGCUUUAUUACCUCUUAAGGUGCACCCAGGGGAAGAAACAGUACUAGAAAUGGGAAUAUUUGAUCUAAAAGAUUGUGUAUCUUCUCUGAAACUUCUAAUAUAAGAAGCUGAAAAUCUUCUUGAAUUUGUGUUUUCUCUGCUAAUUUUAGCCUUAAGACCCAUUCUCUAAGGUUAAAAUCUCUAUCAUCUUGCUUUCUUGAAUUUCCAAUAGGUGAUUGUGCCAUGCUAGUUUCAAGUUUCAUUAUGGUUUUGACUUAAAAAAGUUGUUCACUUUUUUAAAUGAAAGGGGAAAAAGGAGGAUAUAUAAAUUUCAAAAGAAACUGGUACAUGGUAUAUGCACUUAAAUAUUAAAUACAUUAUAUUGUACAAAUAUUGUGAGAUUUAAGAAACUGGAAGAAGAUUAAGCCUUAGACUUAGACUUUGAAUUUAAUAGAAUACAUGAGUUUUGGCCUAUAAAUUGCGUUUAAGGUAGAAAGUUGAUUAUAGAGUUGGAUUCCUUUACUUAUAAAUAAUAUACAUUUGAUAGAUCGAGAAAGUUUUGGGGCGUGGAAGAAAGGAAAGGCUUUUACGAAUUAGCUUGCUUAUCUUGGAUUCUUCGGUUGAGGCAGUUUAUGGUUUAAUUGAAAAAGUGAAGUGAGUUAGUGAGUCGAAAAUGUUUUAAGUGUAGUUAUUUGAAAGGUGGACUUGUGUUUUGAAUAUAGUCAAGUGUGGUCACUUGAGAAGUGAGUUAGUGAGUCGAAAAUGUGUAAGUGUAGGUACUUGAAAUAUGGACUUGUGUUUUCAAUAUAGUCAAGUGUGGUCACUUGAGAAGUGAGUUAGUGACUUCAAAAUGUUAAAGCAUAGUUACUUGAAAGUUGGACUUGUGUUUUGAAUAUACUUAAGUGUGGUAACCUAAGAAAUGAAUUAGUGACUUAAAAAUGUAUUAGUGUAGGUACUUGAAAUGUGAACUUGUGUUUUGAAUUUAAUUAAUUAUGGUCACUUGAGAAGUGCAUUAGUGAGUCGAAAAUGUGUAAGUGUAGGUACUUGAAAUAUGAACUUGUGUUUUGAAUAUAGUUAAGUAUGGUCACUUGAGAAGUGAGUUAGUGACUUCAAAAUGUUUAAGUGUAGGUAACUUGUGAAGUGAAUUAGUGACUUAGAAAUAUGAACUUUUCAUUUUGAAUUUAGUUUAGUUUGGUAUCUUGUGAAGUGACUUGAUAAUGUUUAGGUGUAGGUACUUGAAAUGUGAACGAACUUUUCAUUUUGAAUUAAGUUUAGUUUGGUAACUUGUGAAGUGAAUUAGUGACUUGAAAUGUUUAGGUGUAGGUACUUGAAAUGUGAACUUUUCAUUUUGAAUUUAGUUUAGUUUGGUAACUUGUGAAGUGACUUGAAAAUGUUUAGGUGUAGGUGUUGACACCUAAUUUUUGCCCUCCACGGCUAAAUUUAAUCCUGAGUUUCUUCGAUCGACAUAUUUAUUUCAUCCGAAUAAGAAUUUUGAAAAGCAUAUUUGUACGUGAUUUUGUCACUUUAAGUAGCAAUUAUAUAUUAUCGUGUUCAAUUAUGCGAUAUUAUACAAUUUGAUCACUUAAAUUUUUAUUCUAUGGAAUAUCGAAUUUAAUUAAAGAAUAUUGUGAAAAUAAAUACAAUAAUUAAAAUCUUGAUUUGAAAAUGAUCUACUUCAAAAAAUGGUUUAUUUGGAAAAAUGUUUACUUGAUCUUAUCGAAUCAAAGAAGCUCGGGAUUAAACUAGUUGCUAAAUUCAUUUGAAAUCUUGAUUCAAUUUGUUAAAUUAGAUUUAAUUGAAGUUGAUUUGGCUACAAUUGCAACAAAAUUGACCAAUUAAUCCUCAAGUAGGUCAAAAUUUAAACACAAUUGGAUAAAUCCUAUCAUAGGCUAUUUAAUAAAUAUCCCAAAAUCUAAUUCUCUUUUUAUUUUAACCCAAACAAUCUCCCAAUCCCUAAAAAACCAAAUUUGGGCCAGCUGUGCAACCCAACAACAUCAGCUGACCCAACCCGUCUCAACCAGGCCCAUAACUAACCCCCAUUUUCCUUCUUCCUAAACAGGCCCAACACUAAAACCACCAAGCCCACUCCAAAAUCAGCAACCCAGCCCACUUUCCUUCCUCCUUUAAUCAUCAACAUCACACCAACCCUCAUAUACACGUACAACACCAAUUCCAGUGAAACACCCCCAACAACUUGCCGACCCAAGCUCCAACCCAUCUGUUUCUUCUUUAUCACGUGCCUUUCCACGCAAAUUUGUACAGAAAAGUUCAAAAACCUUCUAGGACGAACCUAGUUGUCAUCAUCCAACGUCCAUAAAUCUCGAGAUAUAUAGUACAAUUUGGUUCAUUUAUGGGGAAAUUCGAUUGGCUUAAGAGAGAUUCCGUUUCUUCUCAUCGAUUUCCCUAGGGGGAAUAAUCCAAAUAGGUACAAGUCGUUUAUUUUGGAAACCCUAGCCUCAAUUUGAAUUUUGAAUUUCUCCUCUUUUCAAAUCCCUAAAUUACCCCUAAUUAGUCUUCUAUAUAAGAGCCCAUUUGGGUCACUGUUUGGGGGUCGAAAAAUUCUGGGGGUGGGGUGGGGUGGGGGGUUGAGGCUCUAGGGUUCUAAGUUGGGGGAUUUUGGGGAGGUUCAAAAGUUUUUCUUUAUUUUCUUUCAAGGGUUUGAAUGUUUAGGCUAAAAAUUUUAGGGUUCAAAAUUUCUUGAGUUCGAAGGUUCGAGAUAAAUUUUGGUAAAACUGAAAGGAAAUUCGGGAGUUCUAAAUUCAGGUUGAAUUUUUUUUUAGUUGAAAGUGGUUUUCAAAAUCUUUAAGAGAAAAGCCAGAAGACGCGCUAUUGGUGGUCGACGUCGCGAGAUUCUGGUAGCGAUGAUUUUACUGAUAGCUUGUCAUCCCGUUUGCAGCCCGAAAGAGGUAAACGCACGCUCGUCCACUUUUAAUUUUGAUGUUUCCUGCUUCAUCCCUCUUUCUUCGUAGAAAUAGUUAUCUGUGUAUCAUGAAUGAGGCUGGGAUUGUCUGCUUUGAUGGCCGUAGGAUUUACUUGAAAUGAUUCUCGCUAUAUCGUUGGCUGCAUUUCUAUUUGUAUUAUAACUUUCUGAUUCAUUAUUAAUCUCGUACGUUUUGGCUCGAUGGCUUUGAGUUUACUAUCUCGUGGUAAUACCAUUGGUUAGUCAUGAAAGAUCUAGGUAUCUAUCUAUCAUGAAUAUGUUGUUUAGGUCCCUGUUCAUGUCAUUACUUUCCGUCGUUGGGAUUUCAAUCAUUGUUUUAGUGUUAACCUUUCUUUGGUGAAAAUUAUAUGUAUAGUUCUAUUCCGACCUAUUGUUCAUCGGCUUGGCUAUUAAAUCAAUGUUUUCAUUUCAUAGCUGGUGCUUAGUUUCACCUUCAAACUCAUUGGAAUGUGGAUUUUGUUAGUCGCCAACAUAUUAUUUUGUAUUUCAACAUUAGGGUCCGAUUUGUUAGUGCCUAGUUGACUACCUACUGCUGCUAUUCUGUUUCUUUCAGUGGUUGUUUUGUUAAUUAAAUUUACAACGAGUAUACAAGUAGCUUUGGUUCGAUCAUGUCGGAUCUAUCUUCUAAGACAAAAAGAUAUUAAUCAUGUUGUGAUAUUUGCAGGCCGUCGAUCAUGAAAAAUUUCUUUUGUUCUUUAGUUGAUAUAUGUUUGACAAUGUAUUCUAUCUAAAUCGCAAAAAUUGUCAAAAUUCUAUCUUUAACUUGUCUAGUCGUCUCCCUUUUGGUCGGCGUCGAAGAGAACAAACUUAAAAGGGUUGCUACUUGUUAGUCGACAAUAAUCGCGGGUAUAUUUACUCGGCUUGGGGGGAAGUGACGCUUGUCAAAAUAAGUUCUAAAUAGUCUUCUCACAUGUUACUCUCCCGUCAUCUUAAACUAUUGUUUGCAUUUUUAUUUCUAUCUUUUGAUACAUUCUUUAUCUCUUAACUUAUUUGAUCUUCUAAUAUCGGGUUUUUUUUUAUUAACGUCCACAGCCUUCACUAGAUUAGCUUUGGCGUUGGUAAAAUUGUUUUAAAAGGCAGUUAAAUUGGUAAUGGUAGAUGAUUAUUAAUCCGCUAGCUGAGAAUGUUUUGUUGAACUGUUUUCUUUUAAUCCACUAGUUUGUAGUUUUCCUAGGAUGACUAUUUGGAUUAAGAAUUUUUAAUGGAUUUGUGAGGUGCCUUUAUGCUAUGAUUAAAAAAUUGCAUUUCAAAACCAGUGCCAGUACUCAUGCCCAAUUUCUUGUGAAGAAAUGAAUUGAUCCUCAAUUUGUGUUUCGCUGCUUUAAAUGAUUAAUUGUUCGAUGACUGCAUAACCUUAUUCCUUGUUCCCUUUCCACGCU
rnacentral:lncRNA from 1 species